GAAUCGCUUCGAUCCAAAUACGCCAAAAAUUACUGAGGAUGUAACGAACAAUUUGUAAAAAGAAUUUUGUCGCUAUCUUUUUUUGUUACGAAGGAGAUACGCUUUGAUGAUAAACAGUGAAUAGGGAGAUAACUCUUACAAAGAAAAUGGUUCGGCUUAGCAGGGUGAAAUUUAAAAGCGCAUAAACUAUACGAUACAAUAUGAGAAAUAUCUAGGACAUAUUGCGAAACAAACAUUUAUCGCAAGAACAAAAGUUGGCGGAAAAAAAAAAAAUAAUAAUAAUAAUAAUAAUAAUCAGAACAAAAACAAUAAGUCUUUCCACAGAAAAGUGGAAAGACUUAAUAAUCAGAAGAAAUACAAUAGGUCUUUCCACAGAAAGGUGGAAAGACCUAAUUAAAAACCAAUUGUUCAGAGAACAGUUGAAGGUCUUUCCAC
rnacentral:lncRNA from 1 species